AUAUGCUCUUUUUUUUUGAAAUGUCAGCCUUGCUAUGUCAGAAAAAUUACUUUGUAGCAUUUUUUCUUGUUGCAGUUUUCCACCAAAAUUUACCCGGAAGUGAAAAUGAGGUGGGAGAGGGCAAGAGAUGAUGGAACUGAAGACAAGAGAAAGAAGGAAAGAAGGUAAGUGUUGGUCUCCCAGUCGUGUUCAACUCUUUGCAACCCCAUGGACUGUAGCCCGCCAGGCUCCUCUAUCUAUGGGAUUCUCCAGGCAAGAUUACUGGAGUAAGUAGCCAUUUCUUUCUCCAGGGGAUCUUCCUGACCCAGGGUUUGAACCCAGAUCUCACACAUUGUAAGCAGAUUCUUUACCAAAAGGAACUAAGUAAAAUUUUUAAGGUGAUUUAGUGAGCUAAAUUUGGAGCUGAGACUAGAACUUGAGUAUUCUAAUUCCUAGUGCUUUUGGU
rnacentral:lncRNA from 1 species